UGGGCGCAAGCCUGAUGCAGCGACGCCGCGUGAGGGAUGACGGCCUUCGGGUUGUAAACCUCUUUCGCCAGGGACGAAGCGCAAGUGACGGUACCUGGAGAAGAAGGACCGGCCAACUACGUGCCAGCAGCCGCGGUAAUACGUAGGGUCCGAGCGUUGUCCGGAAUUACUGGGCGUAAAGAGCUCGUAGGUGGUUUGUCGCGUUGUUCGUGAAAACUCACAACUCAAUUGUGGGCGUGCGGGCGAUACGGGCAGACUGGAGUACUGCAGGGGAGACUGGAAUUCCUGGUGUAGCGGUGGAAUGCGCAGAUAUCAGGAGGAACACCGGUGGCGAAGGCGGGUCUCUGGGCAGUAACUGACGCUGAGGAGCGAAAGCGUGGGGAGCGAACAGGAUUAGAUACCCUGGUAGUCCACGCCGUAAACGGUGGGUACUAGGUGUGGGUUUCCUUCCUUGGGAUCCGUGCCGUAGCUAACGCAUUAAGUACCCCGCCUGGGGAGUACG
rnacentral:rRNA from 1 species